UUCAGAAGCUGGAAAGAACUUCGGUCAGGGAUGAGCUCGCGGCCUAUCAGCUAGUUGGUGAGGUAAUGGCUCACCAAGGCGUCGACGGGUAGCCGGCCUGAGAGGGUGACCGGCCACACUGGGACUGAGACACGGCCCAGACUCCUACGGGAGGCAGCAGUGGGGAAUAUUGCACAAUGGGCGCAAGCCUGAUGCAGCAACGCCGCGUGAGGGACGACGGCCUUCGGGUUGUAAACCUCUUUUAGCAGGGAAGAAGCGAAAGUGACGGUACCUGCAGAAAAAGCGCCGGCUAACUACGUGCCAGCAGCCGCGGUAAUACGUAGGGCGCAAGCGUUAUCCGGAAUUAUUGGGCGUAAAGAGCUCGUAGGCGGUUUGUCGCGUCUGCUGUGAAAACUGGAGGCUCAACCUCCAGCCUGCAGUGGGUACGGGCAGACUAGAGUGCGGUAGGGGAGAUUGGAAUUCCUGGUGUAGCGGUGGAAUGCGCAGAUAUCAGGAGGAACACCGAUGGCGAAGGCAGAUCUCUGGGCCGUAACUGACGCUGAGGAGCGAAAGGGUGGGGAGCAAACAGGCUUAGAUACCCUGGUAGUCCACCCCGUAAACGUUGGGAACUAGUUGUGGGGUCCAUUCCACG
rnacentral:rRNA from 1 species